GUUUACUUUGGUGCCAGAAGUUUUACUUCUCCCUACCUUCAUUGGUGUUUGCUAUAGAAUAAGGAGCUGGGAGUAAUACUGAAUCUUUUAUGACCAGAUGAUGUGAUGAAGUGUUAUGAAUGCCAGGGAGCUGUUAGAGAGGGUCCAGAGGGAGAGACACAAGGAUGAUCAGAGGGCUGCAGCACCUCCCCUACGAAGACAGGCUGAGGGAGCUGGGCUUGUUCAGCCUGGAGAAGAGAAGGCUGUGGGGUGACCUCAUUGCAGCCUUUCAGUACCUAAAGGGAGCCUACAAAUGGGAGGGGAGUCAACUCUUUGAAAGGGGAGAUAACAGCAGGACAAGGGGAAAUGGUGUGAAGUUGAAGGAGGGAAGAUUGAGGUUGGAUGUCAGGAGGAAUUCUUUACUGUGAGAGUGGUGAGGUGCUGGAACAGCUGCCCAGAGAGGCUGUGGAUGCCCCGUCCAUCCCUGGAGGUGUUCAAGGCCAGGUUGGAUGGGGCCCUGGGCAGCCUGGGCUGGUAUUACAUGUGGAGGUUGGUGGCCCUGCCUGUGGUGGGGGGUUGGAGCUUCGUGAUCCUUGAGGUCCCUUCCAACCCGGGCCAUUCUGUGAUUCUAUGAUACUGCUCUUUACAACAGGAAGAAGAGUUUGAGUGCUUCUCCCCAAGCCCUUUUCCUUUCCAGCUAAAUCCAGGAGCCAACACAAACACAGGGAGCAGCCACAGAAUCAUAAAAUGAUUGAAUUAUUAAGAUUGGAAAAGACCUUCAAGACCAUCAAGUCCAAGUGCCAGCCCAUCCCCACCAUGCCCACUGACCAUGUCCCUCACUGCCACAUCUACUCAUUUCUCAAACGCCUCCAGGAACUCCAUCACCUCCCCCACCCCUGGGCAGCCUGUUCCAAUGCCUGACAGCUCAUUCUGAGAAGAAAUGUUUCUCAGUAUCCAACUUGACCCUCCUCUGGCACUACUUGAGACCAUCACCUCUUGUCCUACCACUGGUUACACGGAAGCCAACCCCACCUCCUCCCCAGCUCCUGUCAGGGAGCUGCAGAGAGCGAUGAGGGCUCCCCUGAGCCUCCUCUUCUCCACACUGACCCCCCCC
rnacentral:lncRNA from 1 species